CCACCAAGGCCCCCACCCCACCAAAGACACGGCGCUUCCGCCCCUCCCACUGCGCUACGCUACACCCUGUCCCCGCGCGCGAGUUCCCCCUCAGACGCACCCCAGCAGCGCCGCGGGCCCCCACUGAAGCACUCGGAUGGAGAACAGGCUCGUCACCGUCGAGCACAGAGCGGUGCUUCUGCUCCUCUGCGUCCUGCUGGGGACGGGGACCAGCUCAGCCACAGAGACAGGAGAGGGCGCAGGCCCCCCCAAGACCAGCGGGAACCAGGCAACAACACCACCCUCCAGUGGGACCCCAUCACAGCACCCCACAAACUGGACACCCCUCCUUGUCCGUAACCCAAAACAGCCGCCUACAGGGACCUAUGACAUCAUCGACCGCAACGGCUCAGAGUGCCUCAAAGCUCAAAUGGGGGUGCAGUACAAAGUCACCGAGAACAAGAACACGCUGUAUUUCAAUAUCGACCCCUCCUCCACCAGGGGAACCGGACAGUGUGGACCAAAGACUUCCAAUCUGACCCUGAAUUUCCCUGGGGGGCGUCUGGACUUCACCUUUCGCGAGGAAGAAAAGAUGUCAUACGUGACUACAGUCCGAGCCAGUUUGGAAACAUCCGUCUGCAAAGACUGCAAGCGAGAGCUCUUCGAAGGCGUAAUCACCGAAGCGAUGUUGUUCAAGGUCAGCGCUGGACGUUGCUACAAGUGUGACGCCUGGACGACACUUCAGUUCGCCGAGAACCUCAGCGUCAAGAUUACAAACGCUAAGAUUCAAGCGUCUGGAAUAACCGGCAGCAAAUUUGGAACGGAGGAAGAGUGCUGGACUGACUUCAACAGACGGGUCAUCCCGAUCGUUUUAGGGGGGGCGGCUGUGGGGAUCUGCCUAAUUGCCGUCCUCACCUACCUGAUUAUCCGAGACAACAGUGCGCAAGGCUACGAGAGACUUUAAGGCAACGCGGCGGUGGCUGUCCGCCAUCGCAGGGAUAAGCGACUCCACGGGGGGCUGCUUUCUGUUUUCACCUUAAAAUCAGCAACCGUUUCACACCCAAGAAAGCAGGCGAGGUGAGGAUAAGAGUGUAAUCGAUGGCUUUAACUGAUCCUUUAAGUGCUGCGCCCCCUGCUGGUCUCCACCCGGAGCUGCAGGUCCCUGCUCCCUCAGAUCCGAUCAUUCAGAGCAGGCACUCUCAACCCAGGUGCUGCAGAGCCACAGUCUGCUGCUGUCUUACUCCACACCUCACUGGUCAGAUAAAACGGUUGAUUACACAGGUAACACACCUCGCCUGGCCUCCUGCGACUGAACUGGGGGGUAUUUCAGGGAGCAGGACACUGGGUUAGCUGGAUCACCGCGCUGAGUACAACCCGGAACAGCUCUCUUUACUUCAGUCCAUGUUCCAGAUUUUGGGAUGGUUCUGGGUUUUACUCAGCGCAGUUAUCCAGCUAACCCAGUUAUCCUGCUUUGUGAAACACCCCCCUGCUUGGUCACACAGACUGUUAAGUUACUGUUUUUCUUGCUCUGAAUCAGCUGCUGAUCUUGAGAUGAGAACAUAAGCCAGCGAACGCUGCACCUCUCCAGUAGCAGGUCUGAGGACCUCCAGUUUAAACUGUCAAUGUCUGCACAUGACCCAUGUGUCUGUGUGAAGGCUUCACAUCAGUGCUCUCCAGGACCAGGGUUGGAGACCACUGCUUCACACAGACUGCCGUGACCUUCCUCUGCAGCAGGAACUGCAGGGAGAAUAGUUUCUGGCAGCCAAUUAAACAAUAAGGUGAAUGAACUGCAGUCUCAACAAAAACAGUUCACAGUGAGUUUUUCUACGAAACAAGUGUUUAUGGGUGCAUGGUCUCUGACUCCAGUCCUGGAGGGGGCGCUGUGUCUGGGUUUGUGUGGAUUCCUUUCAGUUAACAGCCUAUUAAAGCCUUGGAAACAAGGCAUGUGGACUUUGUAGCCAAUCUAAUGACUUCAAUUAUGCACAGAAAACCAGCAGAUGCUGCUGAAAUACCUGUGAAGAGCUUGUAUUGUAAGUUCCAUCUGCUUGUACAGCCGGUUUGAGAUCAAGCAUUACUAUUUUCAUUAUUGUUUUACAUCUAAAAUUACUUUCAACAUGUUAAAAUUAAUUUUCAUUGAAGUGAAAAUAUUACGAGAUUAUGAAUGCUGACUGUUUGUAAAUUUUAUGUGCAAUACUGUUCAUGUGAUUAGCAUAAGGAAACGGCCCUGAACAAAUACAGAUAAUAAUAAAAAAAUGAUG